rnacentral:rRNA from 1 species
UCCUCCCUCUGGCGGCGUGCCUAAUACAUGCAAGUCGAGCGGACGGAUGGGAGCUUGCUCCCAGACCGUCAGCGGCGGACGGGUGAGUAACACGUGGGCAACCUGCCUGUAAGACUGGGAUAACUCCGGGAAACCGGGGCUAAUACCGGAUAACUCUUUCCCUCACAUGAGGGAAAGCUGAAAGAUGGCAUCUCGCUAUCACUUACAGAUGGGCCCGCGGCGCAUUAGCUAGUUGGUGAGGUAACGGCUCACCAAGGCGACGAUGCGUAGCCGACCUGAGAGGGUGAUCGGCCACACUGGGACUGAGACACGGCCCAGACUCCUACGGGAGGCAGCAGUAGGGAAUCUUCCGCAAUGGACGAAAGUCUGACGGAGCAACGCCGCGUGAGUGAUGAAGGUUUUCGGAUCGUAAAACUCUGUUGUCAGGGAAGAACAAGUACCGGAGUAACUGCCGGUACCUUGACGGUACCUGACCAGAAAGCCACGGCUAACUACGUG